rnacentral:rRNA from 1 species
UACGGAGGGUGCAAGCGUUACCCGGAAUCACUGGGCGUAAAGGGCGUGUAGGCGGAACGUUAAGUCUGACUUUAAAGACCGAGGCUCAACCUCGGAAGUGGGUUGGAUACUGGCAUUCUUGACCUCUGGAGAGAGAACCGGAAUUCCUGGUGUAGCGGUGGAAUGCGUAGAUACCAGGAGGAACACCGAUGGCGAAGGCAGGUUCUUGGACAGAAGGUGACGCUGAGGCGCGAAAGUGUGGGGAGCGAACCGG